CCUACGGGACGCAGCAGUGAGGAAUAUUGGUCAAUGGGCGGGAGCCUGAACCAGCCAAGUCGCGUGAGGGAUGACGGCCCUACGGGUUGUAAACCUCUUUUGUCGGGGAGCAAGACCCGCCACGAGUGGCGGAGCGAGAGUACCCGAAGAAAAAGCAUCGGCUAACUCCGUGCCAGCAGCCGCGGUAAUACGGAGGAUGCGAGCGUUAUCCGGAUUUAUUGGGUUUAAAGGGUGCGCAGGCGGACCAUCAAGUCAGCGGUAAAAUCGUGGGGCCCAACCCCAUCCCGCCGUUGAAACUGGCGGUC
rnacentral:rRNA from 1 species